UGGCGGCGUGCCUAAUACAUGCAAGUCGAGCGAACUGAUUAGAAGCUUGCUUCUAUGACGUUAGCGGCGGACGGGUGAGUAACACGUGGGCAACCUGCCUGUAAGACUGGGAUAACUUCGGGAAACCGAAGCUAAUACCGGAUAGGAUCUUCUCCUUCAUGGGAGAUGAUUGAAAGAUGGUUUCGGCUAUCACUUACAGAUGGGCCCGCGGUGCAUUAGCUAGUUGGUGAGGUAACGGCUCACCAAGGCAACGAUGCAUAGCCGACCUGAGAGGGUGAUCGGCCACACUGGGACUGAGACACGGCCCAGACUCCUACGGGAGGCAGCAGUAGGGAAUCUUCCGCAAUGGACGAAAGUCUGACGGAGCAACGCCGCGUGAGUGAUGAAGGCUUUCGGGUCGUAAAACUCUGUUGUUAGGGAAGAACAAGUACGAGAGUAACUGCUCGUACCUUGACGGUACCUAACCAGAAAGCCACGGCUAACUACGUGCCAGC
rnacentral:rRNA from 1 species